rnacentral:rRNA from 1 species
GAUGAACGCUAGCUACAGGCUUAACACAUGCAAGUCGAGGGGAAACGACAUCGCAAGCUUGCUUUUGAUGGGCGUCGACCGGCGCACGGGUGAGUAACGCGUAUCCAACCUGCCCAUCACUUGGGGAUAACCUUGCGAAAGUAAGACUAAUACCCAAUGAUAUCUCUAGAAGACAUCUGAAAGAGAUUAAAGAUUUAUCGGUGAUGGAUGGGGAUGCGUCUGAUUAGCUUGUUGGCGGGGUAACGGCCCACCAAGGCAACGAUCAGUAGGGGUUCUGAGAGGAAGGUCCCCCACAUUGGAACUGAGACACGGUCCAAACGCCUACGGGAGGCAGCAGUGAGGAAUAGUGGGCAAUGGGCGAGAGCCUGAACCAGCCAAGUAGCGUGCAGGAAGACGGCCCUAUGGGUUGUAAACUGCUUUUAUAAGGGAAUAAAGUGAGAGUCGUGACUCUUUUUGUAUGUACCUUAUGAAUAAGAACCGGCUAAUUCCGUG